CAGUUUCUAUUUGUUGCGGACAAAUAAAAUGAAUGUGUGUAUCGAUUCCGCCAGCAGUAAGGAUAUAACCGCUACCACCAUGAACUUCGGUAGAGGCACUAAUGAUAAGAUUAGAAUCUACACCAUCCAUAAUAUCUGGAUUUCCAGCUUUACCAAUACCUACGAUUUUACCAUCGCGAACACCUACAUCGGCUUUUACAAUUCCCCAGUGAUCAAUAAUAAUAACUCCUGUAAUACAAAGGUCUAACGAACCUUGCUCACGGAUAGAAGUUGUGGAUUGUCCCAUACCAUCACGUACUG
rnacentral:sRNA from 1 species